GUUUGCUUCAGCAGAACUUAUACUAAAAUUGGAACAAUACAGAGAAGAUUAGCAUGGCCCCAUGUGCAGGGGUAAUACACAAAUUCAUGAAGCAUUCCAUAUUUUU